rnacentral:rRNA from 1 species
UACGAAGGGGGCUAGCGUUGCUCGGAUUGACUGGGCGUAAAGGGCGCGUAGGCGGUUCGUACAGUCAGACGUGAAAUUCCUGGGCUCAACCUGGGGGCUGCGUUUGAUACGUGCGGACUUGAGUGCGGAAGAGGGUUGUGGAAUUCCCAGUGUAGAGGUGAAAUUCGUAGAUAUUGGGAAGAACACCGGUGGCGAAGGCGGCGACCUGGUCCGAUACUGACGCUGAGGCGCGAAAGCGUGGGGAGCAAACAGG